UACGAAGGUGGCAAGCGUUGUUCGGAUUCACUGGGCGUACAGGGUGUGUAGGCGGUUUGGUAAGCCUUCUGUUAAAGCUUCGGGCCCAACCCGGAAAGCGCAGAGGGUACUGCCAGGCUAGAGGACGGGAGAGGAGCGCGGAAGAUUCCCGGUGUAGCGGUGAAAUGCGUAGAGAUCGGGAGGAAGGCCGGUGGCGAAGGCGGCGCUCUGGAACGUUACUGACGCUGAGACACGAAAGCGUGGGGAGCAAACAGG
rnacentral:rRNA from 1 species